rnacentral:lncRNA from 1 species
UUCAGACGAGGAGAAGGCCGAGAUCUGGAGGCUAGACUUGGGCGACGCCGUCGUUUGAAACCCGGACGACGGCAGCUGGAUACGGGCUGUGCAGAGGGAGGCGGCGAGAGUCGUCGACAGGAACUUCACUCCGGCUCCUCCACCACCGUACGAAGAUGUGGUGGCGUUAGCGGCUGCUUCGCCUUUUUCGCUGUCAGUAUUUUCGUCCGAUUCUGAAAUUUAGGUGUUCCAGAGAAGAGCAGAAAUAGUGCUAAGAAAAAGAGUGGCCAAAGAAAACGAAGCAGACGAGGGAGAAGAGAAAAAGGGAAUAUGGAGAAGGCUGGAAGAAGGUGAAUAUGGAGAAGGCAGGAAUUGAAGGGAAAAUGAUGCAGACGAGGGAGAAGAGGAAAAGGGAAGAUCUGGAGUUUAGAAGUUUCGAGAUAGCAGCGCCGCUCAUGUGUGGAAAACCCUCAAAUGAGAGAAGUAUUAUGUACACCCUAAAAUGAGGGAGUAAUUAAUUAAUAGUUGGGCUUUAUCUAUGCCUAUGGGC